rnacentral:rRNA from 1 species
AUUGAACGCUGGCGGCAUGCCUUACACAUGCAAGUCGAACGGCAGCAUGAUCUAGCUUGCUAGAUUGAUGGCGAGUGGCGAACGGGUGAGUAAUACAUCGGAACGUGCCCUGUAGUGGGGGAUAACUAGUCGAAAGAUUAGCUAAUACCGCAUACGACCUGAGGGUGAAAGUGGGGGACCGCAAGGCCUCAUGCUAUAGGAGCGGCCGAUGUCUGAUUAGCUAGUUGGUGAGGUAAAGGCUCACCAAGGCGACGAUCAGUAGCUGGUCUGGGAGUACGAGAAGCCACCAUGGGACUGAGGAACGGCCAAGAGUCCUACGGGAGGCAGAAGUGGGGAAUUUUGGACAAUGGGGGCAACCCUGAUCCAGCAAUGCCGGGUGUGUGAAGAAGGCCUUCGGGUUGUAAAGCACUUUUGUCCGGAAAGAAAUCGCACUUACUAAUAUUAGGUGUGGAUGACGGUACCGGAAGAAUAAGGACCGGCUAACUACGUGCCAGCCGCCGCCGUAACAC